CUUAGUUCAGUUGGUAGAACGUAGGUUUCCAAAACCUGAUGUCGAGGGUUCAAGUCCUUCA
rnacentral:tRNA from 1 species